GUAUCCUGGCUCAGGAUGAACGCUAGCUACAGGCUUAACACAUGCAAGUCGAGGGGCAGGCAUGACCUAGCAACUAGGUUGAUGGCGACCGGCGCACGGGUGAGUAACACGUAUCCAACCUACCGGUUAGUUCCGGGAUAGCCUUUAGAAGAAGAUUAAUACCGGAUAGUAUAACGAGAAGGCAGUCUUUUUGUUAUUAAGAUUUCGAUAACCGAUGGGGAUGCGUUCCAUUAGUUUGUUGGCGGGGUAACGGCCCACCAAG
rnacentral:rRNA from 1 species